AAAGGGACACUUUGCCCUAACAUACUGCCCCCUCCACCAGGAAGCCUCACUGCCUGAAAAUCCACAUUCAUUGAAGAGCCUUGCUAACAUAACAAGGCUGCCAGAAUAGGAGAAAAAUUCAUGUCCUUCCUGCCUCUUAGGCUCUAGUAAAUGGAGGUUGAAGAGGAGCUUUAUAAAUUACAAGGUGCUAUUUAUCUGUCAUUGAAGGAUGUUGUUUUUAACACCCAAACGGAGCAUAGGACGCCCUGCACCGUGCACUAAGGAUACAGAAGUAAGUAAGACUGAGGACACUGAAGCUACCAGAGAAGCCAGACAUGCAUAGAAGCCAUGACAAUACACCACAGGACAUACCAUGCUAGAGGUAUGUACAAAACACAGUUAGGAGCUCAG